rnacentral:misc_RNA from 1 species
CCCCGCCGAAGACCGCCGUGCAGUGCCGCCAUAAGAUGGAGAAGCUCCGCAAGCGUUAUCGCACCGAGAUCCAGAGGGCACGAUCCAUGCCCGUUUCGAGAUUCUCUUCUUCUUGGGUACAUUUUAAGCGUAUGGAUGCCAUGGAAAAAGGCCCACAGGCUAAAGUGGAUUAUAACUCGGAGAGCGAUGGGGAUGAUAAUGAGGACGAAAACGAGGAUGAUGAUGAAAAUCAAGGUUUCUAUAUGGAGAAUCACAGGAAUGUUAGUACUAUUAUGAAUACGAGGAGCAUUCAUAAGCUGUAUCGUAAUGGAAUUGGAGGAAAUACUGGCAGCAAUGUGAGUGGGAGCGGUUCUGGCGCUAGUGUUGCUGGUGGUUUUAGAAUUAGAAUACCCACCGGAGUUAGUAUAGCGCAACCAGGACCCAAGUUUUAUCCUAAAGUUGAUCACAAGUAUGGCCUAAACCCUAAUUUGAGUUCUAAUUCUAGUCCUAAACCUAAUUUUGGAGCUGGGUCCGUGUCUGCAUCUGGGUUGGGGAGCAGUAAAGUUUUGAGGGGGUCCGAUGAAACGGGAAAGAAGAGGGAGAGGGAACCAAUGGAGGAGAUGGUGACAGCGAUCAAGGUGCUUGGAGAUGGGUUUGUGAAGAUGGAGCAGAUGAAAAUGGAGAUGGCUAGAGAGAUCGAGACCAUGAGGAUGGAAAUGGAGAUGAAGCGUACUGAGAUGAUUCUAGAGUCACAGCAGCGGAUUGUUGAGGCCUUUGCCAAGGCCUUCUCAGAGAAGAAGAAGAAGCCCAAGAGAAUACCUUCACCGGAGUCUUAGUAUUUGGUUGAUCCUGCAGACUUGGCUGCUGGUGCUGGAGUGAUUCUUUUGGAAAGGCGGCCUGCAUUAGCCACUUGUGAUUAAUGAGUAAUUAGGAAGCUAUGAAAAUUGAUUAGUUGUAGCCUAAAUUUUG